rnacentral:rRNA from 1 species
CCUACGGGAGGCUGCAGUCGAGAAUCAUUCACAAUGGGGGAAACCCUGAUGGUGCGACGCCGCGUGGGGGAAUGAAGGUCUUCGGAUUGUAAACCCCUGUCAUGUGGGAGCAAAUUAAAAAGAUAGUACCACAAGAGGAAGAUACGGCUAACUCUGUGCCAGCAGCCGCGGGAAUACAGAGGUCUCAAGCGUUGUUCGGAAUCACUGGGCGUAAAGCGUGCGUAGGCUGUUUCGUAAGUCGUGUGUGAAAGGCGCGGGCUCAACCCGCGGACGGCACAUGAUACUGGGAGACUAGAGUAAUGGAGGGGGAACGGGAAUUCUCGGUGUAGCAGUGAAAUGCGUAGAUAUCGAGAGGAACACUCGUGGCGAAGGCGGGUUCCUGGACAGUAACUGACGCUGAGGCACGAAGGCCAGGGGAGCGAAAGGGAUUAGAUACCCCUGUAGUC